GACGAACGCUGGCGGCGUGCAUAAUAAAUGCAAGUAGGACGCAGUUGCGAAAGGGUGAGUAACGCGUAGGUAACUACCUAUUAGAGGGGGAUAACUAUUGGAAACGAUAGAUAAUAACGCAUACUAGUAGAUGGCCCUGCGUUUUAAUAGCUAGUAGGUAAGGGAAUGUCCUACCUAGGCAACGAUACAUAGCCGCCAUGAGAGCGGGAUUGGCCACACUGCGACUAGGACACUGCCCAGACUCCGACGGGAGUCAGCAGUAGGGACUCUUCGGCAAUGGGGGGAACACUGACCGAGCAACGCCGCGUGAGUGAAGAGGUUUUUCGGAUCAUACAGGUCUGGUGUUAAGGAAGCGGUACUUAACCAGAAAGGGACGGCUAACGACGUGCCAGCAGCCGCGGUAAUUC
rnacentral:rRNA from 1 species